ensembl:miRNA MIR488 microRNA 488
GAGAAUCAUCUCUCCCAGAUAAUGGCACUCUCAAACAAGUUUUCAAGUUGUUUGAAAGGCUGUUUCUUGGUCAGAAGACUCUCAGUUCCUUCUGGA